ACUUCUUUUUCCCUCUUUCUCCUGAAUCACUUUUCGUAAAGGGUGCGUAGGCGGUCGACAAAGUCUGGGGUGAAAGGCUACGGCUCAACCGUAGUAAGCCUUGGAAACUUGUUGACUUGAGUGCAGGAGAGGUAAGUGGAAUUCCUAGUGUAGCGGUGAAAUGCGUAGAUAUUAGGAGGAACACCAGUGGCGAAGGCGACUUACUGGACUGUAACUGACGCUGAGGCACGAAAGCGUGGGGAGCAAACAG
rnacentral:rRNA from 1 species